GUUGAAUGAAAAAGAGUGGGUUCUAAGUUAAGUGCGUCAAUGAUAUUUAAAGACUACUCUGCUGGGGUUUGGUCCCCUCCACUUCUAAGUUACUGUCUACCCUCAUCCAUCAAUGGCUGCUUUCUUUUGAUUCUUUUCACUUUAUACUUCGCAAAAUAUCAAGUAUAUUAGCAGUGGGAAGUACAACCAUAAGAUGACGAUGGCGAUUGCUUCAUUACAGUGCCGACUGCCGACCUUGAUUCCUCCAAGUUGACUCAAUGUCUACCAUGUGUUCUCCACCCAAGUAUGACUGAAUACUGAUAAUAUACUGCACUUCAAAGUUUUACCAAAAAGGGUGUGAUAUUCAUCGUUAACAAUGAUGUUAGUUUUCUUCCUUUUUUUUAUUAGGUCCAGGCCUUCAAGGCACUACAUAUGGUUGUUGUAUGCUCGUCAUUUUCGAAUGGCAUCUAUCUAUCCAGCCAUCCUUAUUUUUUCUUCUUUUCAAAUCCUAAAAAGGUGUCUCCCUUUUGAAUCA